rnacentral:rRNA from 1 species
AGGAUGAUCCGCCACACUGGGACUGAGACACGGCCCAGACUCCUACGGGAGGCAGCAGUGGGGAAUAUUGGACAAUGGGCGCAAGCCUGAUCCAGCCAUGCCGCGUGUGUGAAGAAGGCCUUAUGGUUGUAAAGCACUUUAAGCGAGGAGGAGGCUACUGAAGUUAAUACCUUCAGAUAGUGGACGUUACUCGCAGAAUAAGCACCGGCUAACUCUGUGCCAGCAGCCGCGGUAAUACAGAGGGUGCAAGCGUUAAUCGGAUUUACUGGGCGUAAAGCGCGCGUAGGCGGCUAAUUAAGUCAAAUGUGAAAUCCCCGAGCUUAACUUGGGAAUUGCAUUCGAUACUGGUUAGCUAGAGUGUGGGAGAGGAUGGUAGAAUUCCAGGUGUAGCGGUGAAAUGCGUAGAGAUCUGGAGGAAUACCGAUGGCGAAGGCAGCCAUCUGGCCUAACACUGACGCUGAGGUGCGAAAGCAUGGGGAGCAAACAGGAUUAGAUACCCUGGUAGUCCAUGCCGUAAACGAUGUCUACUAGCCGUUGGGGCCUUUGAGGCUUUAGUGGCGCAGCUAACGCGAUAAGUAGACCGCCUGGGGAGUAC